rnacentral:telomerase_RNA from 1 species
UGCACCUUCGCCUUCCCAACAGUUCUCCGAUUCUCGUUUUCCGAAAGGAAUGUCCAACGGACCCCAUGGCCGGGCCUUAUCAACUCCCGUCUGGCACGUCGCAGCUCAAGGUCCGUAGCAGUCCUAACGUGCUCGCCGCGUGUGGUUUGCCAGGCGAGGAGAACCGGCCGAUGGGAACGGUGUUUCGGAACUUAACCCUAAGCUAUCACUUGGUUCAAGUCUUGCGCUCAUAGUCGCCCAACUUUGCCUUCUAAGCUGUCGGAACGCUUCGUUAUGCCGUGCGCUGCUGAAAAGCAGUGUGCGCCGAGCGGGCCUCCGCAUGGUGGAAGGGCAAUGGGGCAUUCCAGUCGCCGUCAGGCGAGUGAGGGCUUGUGCUAUGAGUUUAAUGUAAGAGCCCCUGGUCUGGUGGCCGCUCGUCAGCAUAAUGCCGCUGGAAGUGUACUCUGGCCGUCAUGGAUCGUUUUGGCGAAGUGAGCCGCAUGUCUACUGAGGAGAUGUCCUUCUGAACAUGAUUGCCUGUCUGGAUAUUUGUUGGCUACUCUGCCACACGUGCGCCCAGAGAUUCGAAGGAGAGCUUAGCACAGGCUACAAACAGAACUAGGCUGCCGAGACUUCUACUUCUUCAUCACCGAUGGUUCCUUCGCCAGAAUUGCUCGAUAGAGUAAGCGAGUGCCAUUCGGCUACCACAGAAGACUCAUCAUUGGCCUACUUCAUCGAUUGCCUUGCUAUCCGCUUUCAGUACCUUCGAAUCCAUUGCCACGAUCCUACAGCUUGAGCGAUCGGCAUGAAACCCGAUCUGCUUUGCAUCGCAUUUCAGACUCAUCCACCCCUAGCAGCAUCAGUUCGCAGACCGAAACCACAUCAUGAUUCUCUCAUUGAUGUGUCACUUGUGUGAUCCGGCCAGGCGCAUCAACCGGGAGUCAUUGAUAGAAUCAACGGCAACUGGGCGCCAAAACCUCGGCGAUUUGCUUCACAGCAAUCGACCACUUCCCUCUGCCUGUGUAAUAUCAGGCCAGAGACGACAGCAUGGUUUUUAUGAACGUCUUUUGUCCAUGCGAAAUGCCCUCCUUGCUGCUCUCUGGAGCUCGAUGGAGAGGAAACCAAAAAUCCAGUUCUUGUUGGCAGUGCA